rnacentral:rRNA from 1 species
AUUGAACGCUGGCGGCAGGCCUAACACAUGCAAGUCGAACGGUAACAGGAAGCAGCUUGCUGCUUUGCUGACGAGUGGCGGACGGGUGAGUAAUAUCUGGGAAACUGCCUGAUGGAGGGGGAUAACUACUGGAAACGGUAGCUAAUACCGCAUAACGUCGCAAGACCAAAGAGGGGGACCUUCGGGCCUCUUGCCAUCGGAUGUGCCCAGAUGGGAUUAGCUAGUAGGUGGGGUAACGGCUCACCUAGGCGACGAUCCCUAGCUGGUCUGAGAGGAUGACCAGCCACACUGGAACUGAGACACGGUCCAGACUCCUACGGGAGGCCGCAGUGGGGAAUAUUGCACGAUGGGCGCAAGCCUGAUGCAGCCAUGCCGCGUGUAUGAAGAAGGCCUUCGGGUUGUAAAGUACUUUCAGCGGGGAGGAAGGGAGUAAAGUUAAUACCUUUGCUCAUUGACGUUACCCGCAGAAGAAGCACCGGCUAACUCCGUG